rnacentral:ribozyme from 1 species
GGUAGUAAGUUUGAGGCCGUAGCAGAAGUGCUCAUGGCAUGGCCCUGUCAUAUUCCAGUGAAUCUGCAAAUUCUGGU